rnacentral:rRNA from 1 species
GACGAACGCUGGCGGCGUGCCUAAUACAUGCAAGUUGAGCGCUGAAGGUUGGUACUUGUACCGACUGGAUGAGCAGCGAACGGGUGAGUAACGCGUGGGGAAUCUGCCUUUGAGCGGGGGACAACAUUUGGAAACGAAUGCUAAUACCGCAUAAAAACUUUAAACACAAGUUUUAAGUUUGAAAGAUGCAAUUGCAUCACUCAAAGAUGAUCCCGCGUUGUAUUAGCUAGUUGGUGAGGUAAAGGCUCACCAAGGCGAUGAUACAUAGCCGACCUGAGAGGGUGGUCGGCCACAUUGGGACUGAGACACGGCCCAAACUCCUACGGGAGGCAGCAGUAGGGAAUCUUCGGCAAUGGACGAAAGUCUGACCGAGCAACGCCGCGUGAGUGAAGAAGGUUUUCGGAUCGUAAAACUCUGUUGGUAGAGAAGAACGUUGGUGAGAGUGGAAAGCUCAUAAAGUGACGGUAACUACCCAGAAAGGGACGGCUAACUACGUG